AAGGUGUAAUUAUCAGUAGUCUUCACAUCAACAUGGGCUUCAAUCAGUGUCUGCCAUUUCCGCACAAGUGACCUCAGCUUGUCUGUAGUGAAGUCCAUUCCCCAGAAGUUUGUCAGAACAUUCCUCCCUUGCACAUCCUCUGCUCUAAGGCGGAUCUUUCUGUAGGCAUGAUCCUCAUCCUUUUGAAGGUCAGCCAAAGAUACUUCAAAAACUCGAUGUUUCA
rnacentral:misc_RNA from 1 species